rnacentral:ribozyme from 2 species
CGUCUAAUGUAACCACUUGCAAAAGUGAUGGUCCAAAGUCCAUGCAAAUACAGAUGGGACA